CACGUAGGGGACGAGCGUUGUCCGGAUUCAUUGGGCGUAAAGCGCGCGUAGGCGGCUCGGAAAGUCGGUCGUGAAAUGCCGGGGCUCAACCCCGGGACUGCGUCCGAUACUCCCGAGCUGGAGGCAGGUAGGGAAGAUCGGAGUUCCUGGUGUAGCGGUGAAAUGCGCAGAUAUCAGGAGGAACACCGGUGGCGAAGGCGGAUCUCUGGGCCUUGCCUGACGCUGAGGCGCGAAAGCUAGGGGAGCGAACAGG
rnacentral:rRNA from 1 species